rnacentral:misc_RNA from 1 species
GAUGAAGAACGCAGCGAAAUGCGAUAAGUAAUGUGAAUUGCAGAAUUCAGUGAAUCAUCGAAUCUUUGAACGCACAUUGCGCCCCUUGGUAUCCCGAGGGGCAUGCCUGUUCGAGCGUCAUUUCACCACUCAAGCCUGGCUUGGUGUUGGGCGACGUCCCCUUUAGGGACGCGCCUUGAAACGCUCGGCGGCGUGGCACCGGCUUUAAGCGUAGCAGAAUCUUUCGCUUUGGAAGUCGGGGCCCCGCCUGCCGGAAUACCUACUCGUAAGGUUGACCUCGGAUCAGGCAGGGAUACCCGCUGAACUUAAGCAUAUCAAUAAGCGGAGGA